rnacentral:rRNA from 1 species
GACGAACGCUGGCGGCGUGCUUAACACAUGCAAGUCGAACGGAAAGGCCCUGCUUUUGCGGGGUGCUCGAGUGGCGAACGGGUGAGUAACACGUGAGUAACCUGCCCUUGACUUUGGGAUAACUUCAGGAAACUGGGGCUAAUACCGGAUAGGAGCUCCUGCUGCAUGGUGGGGGUUGGAAAGUUUCGGCGGUUGGGGAUGGACUCGCGGCUUAUCAGCUUGUUGGUGGGGUAGUGGCUUACCAAGGCUUUGACGGGUAGCCGGCCUGGGAGGGUGACCGGCCACAUUGGGACUGAGAUACGGCCCAGACUCCUACGGGAGGCAGCAGUGGGGAAUAUUGCACAAUGGGCGGAAGCCUGAUGCAGCAACGCCGCGUGCGGGAUGACGGCCUUCGGGUUGUAAACCGCUUUCGCCUGUGACGAAGCGUGAGUGACGGUAAUGGGUAAAGAAGCACCGGCUAACUACGUG